CGGAAAUAAUGAGCUCUGAGCUCGUUCCGUAGGGUAACGUCUGGCUGUCUCGUCAGAGACUGCAGCAGAUCAAACAGUGAAUUACACACACACACACACACACACACACACAUUCGUUAUCUUUAAGAAUGGAAGGAUUUGUAAGCAAGGUAUAGUUUCGAUCCCACGCCCUCACACGCCCCUGGAUGCAAAGCGUGUGCUGCUGAGGAAAGGGGACGAGCGCAUGGAGGAACAUCAGACGCACUUAAUUAAGAGAAGUGGCACUGCUGUUCACGCCAAGGACGCCCGGACGCCUCGCUCACUGUGAAGUCAAAGAUGAAAGG